AGUGAACGCUGGCGGUAGGCCUAACACAUGCAAGUCGAACGGCAGCACAGUAAGAGCUUGCUCUUACGGGUGGCGAGUGGCGGACGGGUGAGGAAUACAUCGGAAUCUACUUUUUCGUGGGGGAUAACGUAGGGAAACUUACGCUAAUACCGCAUACGACCUACGGGUGAAAGCAGGGGAUCUUCGGACCUUGCGCGAUUGAAUGAGCCGAUGUCGGAUUAGCUAGUUGGCGGGGUAAAGGCCCACCAAGGCGACGAUCCGUAGCGGGUCUGAGAGGAUGAACACACACGCUGGAACUGAUGCUAGUUCUGGCGCCAGCGGGAAGCAGGCCAGAGGUAAGACUGCCCAAUUGCCGCAAGCCUGAGCCAGCAUUGCCGCGUGGGGGAGCACGCCCUUCGGUUUGUACACCCCUUUUGUGGACAAAGAAAAGAACCUGGUCCUUCCCCCGCUGUCCCGACGGAACCCAAAGAAUCCGCACCGACUACCCUCGUCCCAGCAGCCGCAAAAAUAACCGAAAGAGCACACGUCUGAAC
rnacentral:rRNA from 1 species